UUGUGUACAACUGUUGUGCACUGUGUUAAUGGCUGUUCAUUAGCAUCAUAAAGAUGGCGGGUGGUUGUGCUUGGCGGUCCCCCAGCUCGCUUUCCUCCGGCCUGGAAGCUGAGCAGGAGCCUCCCUGGCAGAUCUCUGCAGUCACAAACACAGAUAGUGAGGAAACGCCUCCCUUUCAGCAAGAUAGGCUGAGACAUUUCAGCGUGUAGGAAAGUGGUGUGACAGAGCAGCAAUGCUGCUAACACGCUUGAAAAUGGAUGAAAUCAAAGUUCCUUGUAUCUAGUAAUCCGAUCAUCUUCUCUUUUGAUCUGUGGUAUUGUGCAAUGAGGCUGAACACUCCUGUUGGAGACCGAAUAGACGUUGAAGAAGAUUUGAAUUUAAUUUCCCUGCUCAGCAGAUGAUUUUAUUUUCAUGAAACCACAGAAAGGAGGUCACCAAAUUAUAUGAAAAAUCCAUUUCCAAGCCUAACUGUCACUUAAAGAAAACAAACAGAUGUGUAAAACAACAUUUUGCACAAUACAUGUAAACAAAACCAAACAGAAGCAUAUGGCUUGCUUUAUACAACAAUUAUAUAUUAUGCUUCCCUGUUGCUUCCUUUCCAUUAUGUAGGAAUACUCUAACUUUAUUACUUCAGAAGACACACAAACAUUUUGAGUUCUCCUUCAAUAAAGUAAUUCAAAUACAGCAACAAAAGUUUUUGUAUAAACUUCUCUAUGUGAGUCUUGUUGUCACCAUGAAAUCAGCAUUCAAGAGGAAUUUCAUAAUGUUGCGUCUUGUGUCCUCUAGUGGACAAAACCUAAAUAGAUGUUCAUCACGUCGUGUUUCUUAAAAGGAAAUCCAUACUCUUAAUGUAUGUCUAUUGUGACAGAAGAAAUGCCCGAUGUUAUACUCGUGUAUCGUAUUAGAAUAUUAUCAAUAUUGUUGUUACUUUAACCUUUAACUUGAACACCAUUGCCAUCGCCGGAUGUUGCAGCUCUCUUUGAUGGUGAAUCUGAGACCAUUAGGAAUGUCUGCUUCAACCAGCCACAUGUUGGUGGCACAGAGCGUCUCCCAUCCUCACUCCCACCUUUGCUUUCACGUCUGUGUGAGAUACCAACGUGACACCUGUCUGAGUUUGACUUUUUUUCUCCUCUGUGCUGACCUUGGAGGGCAAAUUGUGUAGUGGUAGUGUAAACCCCCGACCCCCGUUGUCCCUGUAUAUGUUAUAUUAGACACACCUGAGUGUACUCAUGCGGACUACCUGCAUUCUUUAUGACCUUUGAACCUUCUUUGCAACGAAUAAAGCUUUGAAAGACAAGUUUGGUGCUGUGAUAUGUUUUCAUCUCAGCAUUUUAUGGACUCACACUAGCGGGAUUGGUCAUUUAUUCCACUACACUACUAAUAUUUUAUUGUUUUGUUAGCCUUUUUUAAAAUGCUGUAGAAGAAAUAAAAUACUACACUGGAAGGAAGAUAUAGAAUAAUUCAAUAUGCAUUUCUCAUUAAGUUAAAUCAGUAGAUUUUAUUAACUAACAAGGUAUCGCCAUCUGCCUCUUGUCUAAUGUCCAUGUUCCUGACCAUUAUCUUUGAAAAAAAAAAGGAUUGCACUGCAAAAGCCCAGAUGUCGAAUGUUAUAAAAUAGAUAACAGAUCAAAAACAACUUUUGAACAAGCUUUUUUUUUCUUUGAACGAAAUGACCAUUUUUCCUUCCAUUUAGUAAUAAAGUCCGAAAUAAUUUCAUCCACAAUUACAAAAAUAAUAGAAACUUUAGAUGUUAUUCCAUGAUCAGCUCUACCAAUUGUCUUCAAUUAAUCAGAUAAAGAAUGUGUCAGUAGACACUUGGUGGAGCUGUAGAAAUGUCCAUCAGCAGAGCAAGGUACACGGAGAAGACGGUACGAGUUGUAAGUCGUCACAAGCAUUUUUCUUUAUGUAAUGUAAUUUAGAACAAUCGUGUAAAGUGCUCUGAAGAAAAGUCUGCAAAAAAACUAGAAAAUGAAUCAAUAAACCUUGAACAGAAAAAUAAUCUAUUUUGAGUAAUUAAUAAUGUCAGUUUUCAAACAAAACAUUUCCAAUAUGCAACUUUUCCUAACCUUACUUGAUAGUAAACUUAAUUAUCUUUAGGUUUUUACUGUUGCUUUACCAAAACAAUAUUUAUUAUUAAUAUAUCAGCACAGUUGCACAUACAAGUUGGGACAAGACUGUGCCUUCAGGCUUCAGGAAAUUGUCACUACUUUCAGACAUUUAACAGUCCUAAAGAUAAAUGGAGAAAAUAAUCUGCGUUAUCAAUAUUAUUUUAGGACUGCAGCGCUAGGAAGGUCCAUAAAAAGGAUAAUUAAUUAACCUUUUA
ensembl:lncRNA